rnacentral:ncRNA from 2 species
UCUGAAUAGAAAACAGCAGGUGCCUGCCGCCGGGGCUUCGUCCCCGGCCGGGAGGGUAAAAGGGAAGCGGGUGCGAGUCCCGCGCGAUCUCGUCACUGUGAUAAGGGAGUCCGCUGCCUUGGCGCUCAGCGCCGGUCACUGGAGGCUUUGCCUCUGGGAAGGCGGCAGCGGGCGGUGAGCUUUCAGUCAGGAAACCUGCCCGCUGUUGGUACAGGAG